rnacentral:rRNA from 1 species
UUCUUGCAAACUAAAGAUGGCGACCGGCGCACGGGUGAGUAACACGUAUCCAACCUGCCGAUAACUCGGGGAUAGCCUUUCGAAAGAAAGAUUAAUAUCCGAUAGUAUAUUAAAACCGCAUGGUUUUACUAUUAAAGAAUUUCGGUUAUCGAUGGGGAUGCGUUCCAUUAGUUUGUUGGCGGGGUAACGGCCCACCAAGACUACGAUGGAUAGGGGUUCUGAGAGGAAGGUCCCCCACAUUGGAACUGAGACACGGUCCAA